rnacentral:rRNA from 1 species
AGCAGCCGCGGUAAUUCCAGCUCCAAUAGCGUAUAUUAAAGUUGUUGCAGUUAAAAAGCUCGUAGUUGAAUUUCGGGGUCAGUAGGCUGGUCGUGCCACGGGUAUGUACUGGUCUUACUGAUUCCUCCUUCCUGAUGAACCGUAAUGCCAUUAAUUUGGUGUUGCGGGGAAUCUGGACUGUUACUUUGAAAAAAUUAGAGUGUUUAAAGCAGGCUAACGCUUGAAUACAUUAGCAUGGAAUAAUGAAAUAGGACGAUCGAUCCUAUUUUGUUGGUUUCUAGGAUUGACGUAAUGAUUAAUAGGGAUAGUUGGGGGCAUUAGUAUUCAAUUGUCAGAGGUGAAAUUCUUGGAUUUAUUGAAGACUAACUACUGCGAAAGCAUUUGCCAAGGAUGUUUUCAUUAAUCAAGAACGAAAGUUAGGGGAUCGAAGACGAUCAGAUACCGUCGUAGUCUUAACCAUAAACUAUGCCGACUAGGGAUCGGAUGAUGUUAAUUUUUUAAUGUACUCAUUCGGCGCCUU